rnacentral:rRNA from 1 species
AGAGUUUGAUCAUGGCUCAGAAUCAACGCUGGCGGCGUGCCUAACACAUGCAAGUCGAACGAGAAAGCUUUCUUCGGAAGGCAAGUAAAGUGGCAAACGGGUGAGUAACGCGUGGGACAUCUACCCUGAUGAGGGGAAUAACUCUCCGAAAGGAGAGCUAAUACCGCAUAUUCCGUGUAAACGGGAAAGGCCUUCGGGUCGCAUCAGGAGGAGCCCGCGUCCGAUUAGCUAGUUGGUGAGGUAAUGGCUCACCAAGACGACGAUCGAUAACCGGUCUGAGAGGACGGACGGCCACACUGGGACUGAGACACGGCCCAGACUCCUACGGGAGGCAGCAGUGGGGAAUUUUGGGCAAUGGGCGCAAGCCUGACCCAGCAACGCCGCGUGGAGGAAGAAGGUUUUCGGAUCGUAAACUCCUGUCCCAUGAGACGAAAAAAAUGACGGUAUCAUGGGAAAAAACCCCAGCUAACUCCAUACCAACAACCACGGUAAUACGGGGGGGGCAAGCGUUGUUCGGAAUUACUGGGCGUAAAGGACGCGUAGGCGGCUUCGGAAGUCAAGGGUGAAAGCCCCGAGCUCAACUCGGGAACUGCCUUUGAAACCACGGAGCUAGAGUGUUGAAGAAAAAAGCAAAAUUUCCAGUG